CCUACGGGUGGCAGCAGUAGGGAAUCUUUCACAAUGGGCGAAAGCCUGAUGGAGCAACGCCGCGUGCAGGAUGAAGGCCUUCGGGUUGUAAACUGCUUUUAUAAGCGAGAAAUAUGAUGGUAACUUAUGAAUAAGGAUCGGCUAACUACGUGCCAGCAGCCGCGGUAAUACGUAGGGGGCAAGCGUUAUCCGGAAUUACUGGGUGUAAAGGGUGAGUAGGCGGCAUGGUAAGCCAGAUGUGAAAGCCUUGGGCUUAACCCGAGGAUUGCAUUUGGAACUAUCAAGCUAGAGUACAGGAGAGGAAAGCGGAAUUCCUAGUGUAGCGGUGAAAUGCGUAGAUAUUAGGAAGAACACCAGUGGCGAAGGCGGCUUUCUGGACUGAAACUGACGCUGAGGCACGAAAGCGUGGGGAGCGAACAGGAUUAGAUACCCGGGUAGUC
rnacentral:rRNA from 1 species